rnacentral:rRNA from 1 species
GACGAACGCUGGCGGCGUGCUUAACACAUGCAAGUCGAACGGAAAGGCCCUGCUUUUGUGGGGUGCUCGAGUGGCGAACGGGUGAGUAACACGUGAGUAACCUGCCCUUGACUUUGGGAUAACUUCAGGAAACUGGGGCUAAUACCGGAUAGGAGCUCCUGCUGCAUGGUGGGGGUUGGAAAGUUUCGGCGGUUGGGGAUGGACUCGCGGCUUAUCAGCUUGUUGGUGGGGUAGUGGCUUACCAAGGCUUUGACGGGUAGCCGGCCUGAGAGGGUGACCGGCCAAAUUGGGACUGAGGUACGGGCCGGACUCCAACGGGAUGCAGCAGUGGGGAAUAUUGCACAAUGGGCGGAAGCCUGAUGCAGCAACGCCGCGUGCGGGAUAACGGCCUUCGGGUUGUAAACCGCUUUCGCCUGUGACGAAGCGUGAGUGACGGUAAUGGGUAAAGAAGCACCGGCUAACUACGUG